AGUAGCUGCUUAGACGGUUUGAAACAUGGAGAAAUAAGCUCUUUCUGGUACGUAUUUCUCACAUGUUCCACGACUGCAUCACAUGAAGCUGACUG
rnacentral:pre_miRNA from 1 species